rnacentral:misc_RNA from 1 species
GAUGAAGAACGCAGCGAAAUGCGAUAAGUAAUGUGAAUUGCAGAAUUCAGUGAAUCAUCGAAUCUUUGAACGCACAUUGCGCCCGCCAGUAUUCUGGCGGGCAUGCCUGUUCGAGCGUCAUUACAACCCUCAGGCCCUCGGGCCUGGCGUUGGGGAUCGGCGGAGCCCCCCGUGGGCACACGCCGUCCCCCAAAUGCAGUGGCGGUCCCGCCGCAGCUUCCAUCGCGUAGUAGCUAACACCUCGCGACUGGAGAGCGGCGCGGCCACGCCGUAAAACACCCAACUCUUCUGAAGUUGACCUCGAAUCAGGUAGGAAUACCCGCUGAACUUAAGCAUAUCAAUAAGCGGAGGA